ACUUUUUAGAAUAACAGAAACGUUUUCUUGCAGAAAAGGGUGAACAAUUUUAAAAUUAUAUGAAUAUUAGUUUAACACGUGACAACUUUUCUUAAAACUUCGCAAAAUAAAUUAAAAUGCACGAAUGAUUUCUAAUAAUUACACAUCAUUUUUCAGAAGGCAAAAACAUUUUAAAUAUUAAUUUCUGAUCGUACUAUUUCCUUUUUGUCCCUAGCAAGAACGGAGUUUAUUCUUUCCUUCUCCGUCAUGAGAGUUUUAAUCUUUCUCUUAAUUCCAUUCCUUCCAGCCUGAUACUAUUCCUCCUAAUUUCUUUCCUUUCUUAAGGACACACCAUAUUACUAUUCUAUUAAUUGCUCCUUUCUGGUUUAUUAUGCACUGUAUGAACCGGGAUCAGUUGGAGACAAUUUAUUCUAUAUGUUACUUUACUGGAUGUGCAAGCAUAUAUGUUUUCGUCUCGUGUGCCCUAACAUGUGUAUAGAUGUUAGUGUAACAUUAUCUAAUUCUUCUCCAUGUAUGUAUGGUGUUUUUUUAGUAGCCAGUCAUUAUGAGUUCAUGAGGGACAUCAACAGAGGAAAGUGAAGUGAAGUGGUUAGGGUUUCGUUCGGCGAGCGGAUGGGAAGGAAUAUAUAAAGGGUUGGGUGAGACAGCGUGGGUCAGGUCUGACGUGGAGGACGCGCCCGGGCACCCCCAUAUCCAGCCCAUAUUUAGGCUAUAUGAGGGUGCCGGUCGGCCCGGGCGUUUAAGACCCAGGCGCCCGUCUGAGUCGAAUUUUCGUGACCCAACCGUCUUGAGACGGAUUGAAGAUGUUUGGCUGUAAAUGCUCUAACACUUUCGCGUGAUGGACUCGAAGAUUUUUAUCGGUGCGUGAAGGAUCCAAAGUAUUAAUUUCGCAAAGGAAAAAGAUCCAAACUACAAAAAGCAGGAAUUGUUUUCUUUAAAUGGCAAAAAGAAAAAAAAAAACAGAAAUUGUGACAUGUGUGCACGCUAGUCUAAAGAUAAAGCUAGCCACACACGCGUUAGCUGGUCUAGAAGAAACUAGCAGCCGCGUCGGUAGCGCUCCUUGGACUUGUCGCUCGCAAUCCUCGGUUUCUCUUCCGUGAUGGCAGUUGUCCACAACCGGACCUCCCCUGGGUCACGCCGCCCCUGCCGCCUACACCCACUGCCGCGCCGCACGCCGCCGGAUCUCCACCCCCACCCUCCCCACUCCACUGGAUCCCCGCACGCCGCACCACCCCCGGCCAUGGGCGCUGGCUACCCGCCUCCCCCUCCCCCAGCUCCCCCGGAUCCCCGCACCACCCGGCCAUGGCGAUGGCUGCUCCCCUCGCCGGGAAUCCCCGCUCCUCCGACCAUGAAGGGCUCCUCUAGCUCCGGCCGUGCGCUCCAGCACCGACAGCCACGCUCGUACUCGUGUAAUUCAACUGCGACCCCACCAUCGGAUGGGCGGCCAUGGCAUGCCAACAUGCCGUCCCGGCGGAAGUCCUUUCCUCUGUAUCUUGACCCCGGACCUUUUUUUCUGUAUCUUCAAAUUGGCUCUCUCCCCUCUCUUUUUUGGAUUUCACGCUUCUCUUUCCUCUUCAACUGUUCGUGACCUUCCUCCCAGGUCUACUUCCGCAUUUUUGGUUGGUGAAGCAUGCCAUCGUUCUUCGUUUCAAUCCAAAUCAGACAUGGGUCGGUCUCGCGCGCGAGCACGGCAGCCCCUGAGCAACAUUUCGAUGCUCGCACUUCCUAGGAACCAGGAGCCCCACGACCGCUUCCCUUUCUUCAGCUCGCUGCCGAGCGUCUCCAGCCAAGACGUGACGUCGAGAUGGCCAUGGCCGCCCGAUGCCGGAGCGCCGCCGGCCAAGGACCCACCGGCAUCCAGACCCCCUCCACGCCAUCUCCAUCUCGCCGGAGACCUGCACCAAGUCCCAUCCAGCGCCUUCGCCACCCUUCGCCCCCCGCCCCGUAGCUCUGCAGCCCGAGCGCUUAACCGACUUGUGCCUGAAGCAGAGGAGAGGAGCUCCCUGCCACGAGCCUCUCCGGCGCUGGCAAACCAGCAGGCUGACCCCGCCUCCUACCUUUUUUUCCGCCGCGACGCAUCACCCCUUCGCUGUCUCCUACGGCGUGGACGCCGACGGCAAGCGGCGGCCGGUACCCGGCGGUGGAGAACGCGGUGAAGCAGUUUAAUUAAGGAUCGCGGGUAGGAUUGUAACUAAUGCAGGGUUGUUUUUGUAAAAACGAAGCGUUUUCUGAUAUCUUUACCUAAUAAUAAAAAUAAAGCAAAUUGGGUUCCUUUCGUC